UGCCAGCCGCCGCGGUAAUACGAAGGGUGCUAGCGUUGUUCGGAAUUACUGGGCGUAAAGAGCGCGUAGGCGGGUUUGUAUGUCGAUUGUGAAAGCCCCGGGCUUAACCUGGGAAAGUCAGUCGAAACUGCGAAUCUUGAAUGCUUUAGAGGUUAGUGGAAUUCCUGGUGUAGGAGUGAAAUCCGUAGAGAUCAGGAGGAACACCGGAGGCGAAGGCGGCUAACUGGGAAUGCAUUGGCGCUGAGGCGCGAAAGCGUGGGGAGCAAACAGGAUUAGAUA
rnacentral:rRNA from 1 species